rnacentral:rRNA from 1 species
GACGAACGCUGGCGGCGUGCUUAACACAUGCAAGUCGAACGGAAAGGCCCUGCUUUUGUGGGGUGCUCGAGGGGCGAACGGGUGAGUAACACGUGAGUAACCUGCCCUUGACUUUGGGAUAACUUCAGGAAACUGGGGCUAAUACCGGAUAGGAGCUCCUGCUGCAUGGUGGGGGUUGGAAAGUUUCGGCUGUUGGGGAUGGACUCGCGGCUUAUCAGCUUGUUGGUUGGGUAGUGGCUUACCAAGGCUUUGACGGGUAGCCGGCCUGGGAGGGUGACCGGCCACAUUGCGACUGAGAUACGGCCCAGACUCGUACGGGAGGCAGCAGUGGGGAAUAUUGCACAGUGGGCGGAAGCCUGAUGCAGCAACGCCGCGUGCGGGAUGACGGCCUUCGGGUUGUAAACCGCUUUCGCUUGUGACGAAGCGUUAGUGACGGUAACGGGUAAAGAAGCACCGGCUAACUACGUG